GUGUCAGCAGCCGCGGUAAUACGGAGGGUGCUAGCGUUGUUCGGAAUCACUGGGCGUAAAGCGCGUGUAGGCGGCCCACUAAGUCUGAUGUGAAAGCCCGGGGCUCACCCCCGGAAGUGCAUUGGAAACUGGUGGACUCGAGUCCCGGAGAGGAGGGUGGAAUUCCUGGUGUAGCGGUGAAAUGCGUAGAUAUCAGGAGGAACACCGGUGGCGAAGGCGGCCCUCUGGACGGUGACUGACGCUGAGACGCGAAAGCGUGGGGAGCAAACAGGAUUAGAUACCCUGGUAGUCC
rnacentral:rRNA from 1 species